CCGCCUGGCGGGAGUGGAACCGCGGGUGGCGGUCGCUCCCGUGGCGCUCCCGCCCUGCUCGGUACCCCUCCCGCGCGGGGAGCGCCGAGCUUCGGAAGCGCGGCUUCCGGCUGCCUGGGCGCACCCCGGCCCGGCCCCGAUGGGGGCCCCUGGUGUCCGGAGACCACCGCGCGCAGACCCUGACCGGCAUUCCCGGGCUGAGAGCCGUGAAGCGCCCUGCUUGUCCAGACCAGCGGAGAGGAUCAAAGCCUAAUUUGGCUACCCAGAAAACGAAUUAAGAUACGAUAUGAAGAAGAACUUCCAACAUCAACAUCCUCUGGAAGAGUCACUCCAGAAGAUGAACAUCAAAAAACUUCAACAAAGAUCCUGGCGCUGCUGCAGUUGUAGCUGCAUUCAUCCCGCCGGUUCCUGGACUUGCCAUUGGAAUGAAGAAGGAGAUAUCUAAGCGGGCCUGUGCAUACAGUAAAACAACAAAUUUGACUGGAUCUAUACUGUUGGAACUCAACCAAGAAUUAGGAGAAGUGCAAGUUGCAGCGCUCCAAAAUCUUGCGACUACAGACUAUCUACUGUUAAAAGAACAUAUGGGAUGUGAACAGUUCCCAGGAAUGUGUUGUUUUAAUUUGUCUGAUUUUUCUCAAACUAUUCAAAUUCAGUUAGACAAUAUCCAUCAUAUCAUUGAUAGGUUUUCACAAAUGCCUAGGGUGCCUAACUGGAUUUUUGGUUUCACUGGAUUGGCUGGUAAUUGUAGGUCUCCUUUGGUUAUGUAGCUGUAUUCCUAUUAUGUUAAUGUGUGCACACAAUUUAAUUAGUAGUUUAAAGCCUAUACAUGCUUAUGUUACACUACAAGAAGAUAUGUCAAAGAAAUAAUCAAUCUUACCAUGUUUUCUUCCAUAUGCUACUUCUAUAGCUUUUCUUCUUCCUUCCUAAUAACAACCCUUAAGUAGAAUUCGUGCCUCAUAUCGAAAUUACUGAGUAUCAUAAUUCUUCCAAGUGGUAAAGAUACCUCAAGACAAAUGCUGGGCAUAGAAGCCACAGGGCAUAAAUCUGAAAAGAAGUAAAAAGCUAACCUUUUCAAACAAUAUUGCUUCUCUCUCACUUACCAACUUUACAUUUCCCUGUAUGGCCCCGGAAGAUGACUGGUUAGCCAGAGACGGGUAAGAUUCCUCAAGGGAGGAACAACCUAAGACAGGCACAGUCGCAGGGGGGCCAUCAGGUGAGAAAUUGGGAAUCAACAGAGGUGAGGCUUAGAACCUCACCCCCCCUGUUUGGAGAGAAAUCUGCAUCCAUGGAUAUUUUGUUGCCCUUGACUAGCUUGGAUUAAUACUUAGUCUACAGGCACACACCUGAUCAUCUACAUUUGCCCUCUUACAGCACUAAACUAUGUUUUCUACCUUUAUCUUGCAUCUACCUACCACUUCAGCAUU